CCUACGGGGGGCUGCAGUGAGGAAUAUUGGUCAAUGGGCGCGAGCCUGAACCAGCCAAGUCGCGUGAAGGAUGACUGCCCUACGGGUUGUAAACCUCUUUUAUAAGGGAAUAAAGUGAGGCACGUGUGCCUUUUUGUAUGUACUUUAUGAAUAAGGAUCGGCUAACUCCGUGCCAGCAGCCGCGGUAAUACGGAGGAUGCGAGCGUUAUCCGGAUUUAUUGGGUUUAAAGGGUGCGUAGGUGGGUUGUUAAGUCAGUUGUGAAAGUUUGCGGCUCAACCGUAAAAUUGCAAUUGAUACUGGCAGUCUUGAGUACAGGAGAGGUAGGCGGAAUGCGUGGUGUAGCGGUGAAAUGCAUAGAUAUCACGAAGAACUCCGAUUGCGAAGGCAGCAUACUAA
rnacentral:rRNA from 1 species